rnacentral:rRNA from 1 species
UACAGGGGGUGCAAACGUUGCUCGGAAUCAUUGGGCGUAAAGCGCACGUAGGCGGUCUGUUAUGUCGGAUGUGAAAGCCCUUGGCUCAACUGAGGAAGUGCAUCCGAAACUGGCAGGCUAGAGUACGAAAGAGGAUCGCGGAAUUCCCGGUGUAGAGGUGAAAUUCGUAGAUAUCGGGAGGAACACCAGUGGCGAAGGCGGCUUCCUGGCCUGUUCUUGACGCUGAGGCGCGAAAGCUAGGGUAGCAAACGGG